GCUGAAUUAUGUUGAAGGUUAGACUAAAAGACCUCCAAGGUCCCUCCCAUCCAUACGAUUCUAUGGUUCUACUCUACAUACUUACGUCCAUGCUUCAGCCAGAAAGAUUCUGCUUGAGGAAUCCUGCUCGACUGUCCCAAUCAGCUUGGUUUUAUUCAAAAUUCAGUCAAAUUUAAUGUUCGGAAGCAUGCUGGUAAUAAAGAGAAAAAAUAUAGUUACCUGCCUUACACAUAGUUUCCAGAGAGGCAGCCACAUCAGUAUUUGGCAGUAAGUACAAAGUAUCUUCUGCAAAACUAAUCAAGUCAUCUUUGUGUUGCGCUUGACCAGUGGUGACUGUAUGGACAGGUCCAUAAUGGAUUUCUUGGCAACCAUGUGAAAGUUCUCUUGCACCUUUUCCCAGGAUGACUUUUUGACUUCCUAGUCUAAAUUACAACGCUGGACUUUCCUGACGGUCUCCCAUCCAACAAAUAACCAGGUCUGACUUCUUAAUCAUUUCAGAUCACGUCUGAUUUGCUCCCUUUCAAAAGACAGAGUCAUUGAUUGCCUCUGGAAUUUCUUACUGCUCUGGAAACAAGGAAUCCGUAAUGCUCUUCAUCUCUUCAUAUAACGUGACCUCAGAUACAGUUUGACUGAUUAAGGAGAGAGUUUCCCUUUCGCAGUAAUACAAGAGUUUGAUCUAUAAA